UGAGAUUUUAUGCUUGAUGAAGGUAAGGUCCAAGAGUUUGAAAAUAGCAUCCAUUUUAUGUUGAUUGUCAAUAGUAAAAGAGCUAGUAGGUAUGAAACUGACAGAGCUGGAUUGAAUGAAGAUAGAUAAGGAAUGGACAGAUUUAGACAUGCAGGAAAUGGAGGCGAAAGUUGCUUUGUUGAAAUUGGUUAAGUGAAGGGCAUCAGCAGCUGAUACAUUCUUUGUUGUUCCAGCAAAAGUUUAGUAUUUCUUUGAUAAUAUUUUUAGCAUGGCAAUUCUGUAGAGCCACGAGUGCUUUUAAAGCUCUUAGUAUGUUUACAAACUUAAGACUGCAAAUUAGCUUGUUAAAUGGUGCCUAACAAGAGUUAAACAGGUAUUGGUCAAAAGUUUAGCUCUUGUCUGGAUGUUUGGGCAAAAAUUUCCAUAGUAUCGAAAAAAUGUCAAAACAGAGUGAUGCUACAAAGAAAACCAAGAAAAAAAAUUAACCACGGUAUUUUUCUGGUAUUUGUUGUUUGGCUCUUGCUGGAAAAUCUAUAGAAAAGAAAAUAUUGCAAGUAAAAUUAGCAGAAAAUUGGACUAUAAUGUAGUGUAAUUUAAACAUUUACCUCCUAACCAGUCUUUCAAUUUAAGUUUUUGGCCAACUCCAAAGUGAUUCCAAUUUGAUUCACUCCCAUGUGGGGCAGUGACCUGCUACAGGAGUCUAAAUUAUGGAUUUACACUUGAGUUUCAUAACUAAUUUGUGAAGCGUUGAAUUAGGUUUGAUUAGGUUGCACGUACAGGCAAAAUCUAAAUUGGGACAGGUACAGAUUAAUCAUAGGUCUACCCUACCAACUUGUGCCUGUAGCUGUAAACUAUCAUAGGAAAGUAAAAUUUUCAACUCAAUGAAUAAUUUAUUAUAUUAUAAUAG
rnacentral:lncRNA from 1 species